rnacentral:rRNA from 1 species
GACGAACGCUGGCGGCGUGCUUAACACAUGCAAGUCGAACGAAGAGCGAUGGAAGCUUGCUUCUAUCAAUCUUAGUGGCGAACGGGUGAGUAACGCGUAAUCAACCUGCCCUUCAGAGGGGGACAACAGUUGGAAACGACUGCUAAUACCGCAUACGAUCUAACCUCGGCAUCGAGGAAAGAUGAAAGGUGGCCUCUAUGUAUAAGCUAUCACUGAAGGAGGGGAUUGCGUCUGAUUAGCUAGUUGGAGGGGUAACGGCCCACCAAGGCGAUGAUCAGUAGCCGGUCAGAGAGGAUGAACGGCCACAUUGGGACUGAGACACGGCCCAGACUCCUACGGGAGGCAGCAGUGGGGAAUCUUCCGCAAUGGACGAAAGUCUGACGGAGCAACGCCGCGUGAGUGAUGACGGCCUUCGGGUUGUAAAGCUCUGUUAAUCGGGACGAAAGGCCUUCUUGCGAAUAGUUAGAAGGAUUGACGGUACCGGAAUAGAAAGCCACGGCUAACUACGUGCCAGCAGCCGCGGUAAUACGUAGGUGGCAAGCGUUGUCCGGAAUUAUUGGGCGUAAAGCGCGCGCAGGCGGAUAGGUCAGUCUGUCUUAAAAGUUCGGGGCUUAACCCCGUGAUGGGAUGGAAACUGCCAAUCUAGAGUAUCGGAGAGGAAAGUGGAAUUCCUAGUGUAGCGGUGAAAUGCGUAGAUAUUAGGAAGAACACCAGUGGCGAAGGCGACUUUCUGGACGAAAACUGACGCUGAGGCGCGAAAGCCAGGGGAGCGAACGGGAUUAGAUACCCCAGUAGUCCUGGCCGUAAACGAUGGGUACUAGGUGUAGGAGGUAUCGACCCCUUCUGUGCCGGAGUUAACGCAAUAAGUACCCCGCCUGGGGAGUACGACCGCAAGGUUGAAACUCAAAGGAAUUGACGGGGGCCCGCACAAGCGGUGGAGUAUGUGGUUUAAUUCGACGCAACGCGAAGAACCUUACCAGGUCUUGACAUUGAUGGACAGAACUAGAGAUAGUUCCUCUUCUUCGGAAGCCAGAAAACAGGUGGUGCACGGUUGUCGUCAGCUCGUGUCGUGAGAUGUUGGGUUAAGUCCCGCAACGAGCGCAACCCCUAUCUUAUGUUGCCAGCACGUAAUGGUGGGAACUCAUGAGAGACUGCCGCAGACAAUGCGGAGGAAGGCGGGGAUGACGUCAAAUCAUCAUGCCCCUUAUGACCUGGGCUACACACGUACUACAAUGGGAGUUAACAGACGGAAGCGAGAUCGCGAGAUGGAGCAAACCCGAGAAACACUCUCUCAGUUCGGAUCGUAGGCUGCAACUCGCCUACGUGAAGUCGGAAUCGCUAGCAAUCGCAGGUCAGCAUACUGCGGUGAAUACGUUCCCGGGCCU